rnacentral:rRNA from 1 species
GAUGAACGCUGGCGGCGUGCCUAAUACAUGCAAGUCGAGCGAACAGACGCGGCGCUUGCUCCUUUGACGUUAGCGGAGGACGGGUGAGUAACACGUGGAUAACCUACCUAUAUGACUGGGAUAACUUCGGGAAACCGGAGCUAAUACCGGAUAAUAUAUUGAACCGCAUGGUUCAUUAGUGAAAGACGGUUUUGCUGUCACUUCUAGAUGGAUCCGCGCCGCAUUAGCUAGUUGGUAAGUUAACGGCUUUCGAAGGCAACGAUGCGUAGCCGACCUGUGAGAGUGAUAGGCCACACGGGAACGUGGACAGGGACCAGACGCCUACGGGAGGCAGCAGUAGGGAAUCUGCGGCAGUAGGCGAAAGCCUUGCGGAACAACGCCGCGUGUGAGAUGAAGGUGUUCGGAGCGGGAUACUCUGUUAUGAGGGAAGAACAGAUGUGUAAUUAGCUGUGCACGGCUUGACGGUACCUAGUCAGAAAGCAACGGCUAACUACGUG